GUCUGAAUAGCUCAGUGGUAAGAGCAGUCGCCCGCAAGCGAAAGACUCGGAUUCGAUUCUCGAUUCAGCG
rnacentral:tRNA from 1 species